GUCUUUUCAAUUUCUCUCUCUCUCACUUUCCCUCACCUUUGUACACUUUCCUUCACUUUUCUCUCUCAAAAAAUUCUCUCACUUUCACGGACUUUCCCAGACAACCCAUCUUCAAAAGCAGGAAAUUUUCCCUCAAGAAAGUGGUUUUCCUUACCAAAAACAUACAGAUUCAUUUCCAAACUCUCAAAUCUUCACCGUUCAAUUCAAGAAACAGGUUCAAAGAUUUUCCCCAAAAAAUCUGAUCCCUCUCUCUCUCUCUCUCUUUCUCUUCCGAAAUGCUCUAAGUUAUCCUUAAAUAGAAAGUGGUUCUCUAAAAAAUGAAAAAAAAAAAAAAAAAACACUUUUCUUGGAAAUUCAGAAAUGGGUUUGAAGAUUUUCUCAGGAAAGUGAUUGCUAGAUUUGAAUGUUAAGAGAAGGCUAUGUGGAACAACAAGAAGAUUUUUUUAAACAUAUUCAGGUACCCUAAUCCAUCAGCAUUCAAAUAUGAAAGGUGCUUCUUCUGUCCUUUUAAAUAUGCUCUCCAUCCCCCUGUGGUAUAAGCUAGAGCACGUAGCUGUAAACAAGCCUGAGGUACCUUGUGGGGUGUUAGAAAUGAAGCAUAUGAUGGACCUCAGUGUUUUGUUAUUCCUAGAAGCCAUGAUUGGUUUGAUGGUUAAACCUUUAUAAGGUUUAUAUGCCAUAAAAGCUGGUUGGGCGAGGGGUUUAUGCCUCAAAAGAAGAGUUAUUUUGCUUUGCAACUCCUUAAAAGGUGGUGGGUAUUUGGUCUUGAUCUAGCACUCCUUGGUGAUAUUGAUGUAUACCAAUUCAAAUUUUUUUCAGAAGUAGUAAAGAACAAGGUAUUUCUUCUUUUCCUUUUUUGCUAUUUUAAUACUUUUCUGAAAAUAUCACAAGUGGAUGAGAUUGGUGGUGCACCAGUAAUCUUACUAGAUGGGAUAAUCAUGUGAGUUGUUUCUAUGGUCCCCUAGUUAUCAUCUCAAUCUUGUUGGGUUGAAUCUGACGCCUAUAAUCAAAUUUUUAGAGAUGGGCAUAUUACAUUGUGUUCGUUACACAUGUUGACAAGUACUAUACACUACAAAAAAAUUGAUAUGUUUCGACCCAAGGCACUUCAAUGGCUCUGUUCAGCAUCACAUGGUAGAGAUUUUUUACACUCAUUUUGUUUAUAAAACUCAC